GCUUUUUUAGUUUAAUAAGAAUAAAUAAUUUGUAAUUAUUGGGUUUAAAAAGCU
rnacentral:tRNA from 1 species